rnacentral:rRNA from 1 species
GCCCGUGACACAGCAGCCGGAAUGCGCUCGGCCUCAUCGCAUCUCGGAUGGUAAGCAGCAGGUUGGAACCUGGUUAGUACUUUGACGGUAGACUGUAUGGGAAUACCAGGUGGUGUAGGGUC